AAAAUAGGCUUUAUGAUUUUUUUUUUUUGAUCAAUCACUUUCUAAAUUUUCCAUCCAAAUUAACUUUGUGGUAAUUCUCACAGCACAGACAGUAUGCAACAGAUUUACCACAUCUUGUGUCAAGUUACUCCAGAGAUCCUUUAAAUCUGAAGUUAAAAUCACAUCUUUUCAACAUAGGUAAGUCCUUGCUGACAUGUGCAUUCGUAAAUUAGGAAUCAGUACAUGAACACUGUGGAGUA
rnacentral:lncRNA from 1 species